rnacentral:rRNA from 1 species
UACGUAGGGUGCAAGCGUUGUCCGGAAUUAUUGGGCGUAAAGAGCUCGUAGGCGGUUUGUCGCGUCUGCUGUGAAAACUGGAGGCUCAACCUCCAGCCUGCAGUGGGUACGGGCAGACUAGAGUGCGGUAGGGGAGAUUGGAAUUCCUGGUGUAGCGGUGAAAUGCGCAGAUAAUCAGGAGGAACACCGGUGGCGAAGGCGGGUCUCUGGGCCGAAACUGACGCUGAGGAGCGAAAGCGUGGGGAGCAAACAGG